GCACGAGCUCGGUGGCGCCCUACGUCUGGCUGCUGGUGGUGGCCGGCGUCGUCCGGUUCGGCGCCGGGUUCGUGCG
rnacentral:tRNA from 1 species